GGAUUGUGGUUCAGUGGUAGAGCGCUUGCCUCUCACGUGCAGGAUCCUGGGUUCGAUCCUCAGCACCA
rnacentral:tRNA from 1 species